rnacentral:ncRNA from 2 species
AAUGAUGAUGUAUUUAAUUAUCGUAUAAGUUAUCCUAAAAAGGUGAUAACGUUUCUACCGCAAUGCCGAAAAAUUGCGACUACGAUCAUUAAGCAUAUUUAG